GCUUGAAUUUUGUAAAGGCGCUCUUAACGGACGCCUAAAGGUAGGUCCUACUCAGUCAGGAUAUAAAUCGCCACACUGCGGGCGAAAGAGCCCUCAGUCUGUCGUGGAAGAAACUGAUACACUGUGUGUGGCCCUAUGUUAGCCUUACCUGUGGACAUCUGCUGUUUUCCUAUGCAGAAGACCGAGUACCAGGAUGCUUCACUGCUGCUUUGAGAGUGGAAUCUGGUGACCGUGGCCUGUGGAUGAGCUUCUGCGUUUCUACGAAUACUGUUUAAUGUGUAAAAUCCCCCCCCGGUGAUGUUUGUGUAAAUCUAUAGCUCAUGUACUUCGUGUAAGUUUGCUUUUUAUUUUUAUUACUAUUAAAUGAGACUUUGAAACCAUCGUACUUGCUGUUUUCAGAUUAUGAUUUGGAAAAUGCUGUUAAACUAGUGUUCCUACGAAAAUUGCCAAAGUUGAUUAUAGCUUGCUACAAUGCUUAAUCUAAUCUGUGUAGCUAGCAAAAAGUGGGUAAAAAGAUCUAGAAAUAUGUAUGACUGGGGC
rnacentral:lncRNA from 1 species